rnacentral:rRNA from 1 species
GCGCAACCCUUGUCAUUAGUUGCCAUCAUUUGGUUGGGCACUCUAAUGAGACUGCCGGUGACAAACCGGAGGAAGGUGGGGAUGACGUCAAGUCCUCAUGGCCCUUAUGGGUAGGGCUUCACACGUCAUACAAUGGUCGGUACAGAGGGUUGCCAACCCGCGAGGGGGAGCUAAUCCCACAAAGCCGAUCGUAGUCCGGAUUGUUCUCUGCAACUCGAGAGCAUGAAGUCGGAAUCGCUAGUAAUCGCGGAUCAGCAUGUCGCGGUGAAUACGUUCCCGGGCCUU